rnacentral:rRNA from 1 species
CCUACGGGUGGCAGCAGUGAGGAAUAUUGGUCAAUGGGCGCGAGCCUGAACCAGCCAAGCCGCGUGAGGGAAGACGGUUUUAUGGAUUGUAAACCCCUUUGGCCGGGGAGCAAGAGACGCUACGCGUCGCGUUCCGAGCGUAACCGUAGAAAAAGCAUCGGGUAACACGGCGUCAGCAGCAGCGGUAAUACGGAGGAUGUGAGCGUUAACCGGAGUUAGUGGGUUAAACGGGUGUGCAGGCGGAAGAUAAAGUCAGCGGUAAAAUUGAGGGGCUAAACCUCUUCGAGCCGUUGAAACUGGUUUUCUUGAGUGAGCGAGAAGGAUGCGGAAUGCGUGGUGGAGCGGUGAAAUGCGUAGAUAUCACGCGGAACACCGGUUGCGAAGGCAGCAUACCGGCGCUUAACUGACGCUGAGGCACGAAAGUGUGGGGAUCGAACAGGAUUAGAUACCCGUGUAGUC